rfam:Oryza glaberrima chromosome 1 Oglab01_0003_38, whole genome shotgun sequence.
UUUAAGUGCAAUCAUGAGUUUCCACGCUCAAUUUUUAUCGUCCGUCUUAUUUAAAUUUUUUUUAUAAUUAGUAUUUUUGUUGUUACAAGAUGAUAAAACAUGAAUAGUACUUUACUCGUGGCUUAUAUUUUUAAUUUUUUUUCAAAAAUUUUUAAAUAAGACAGACGAUUAAAGUUGGGCGUGGAAAACCAUGGUUGUACUUAAA